rnacentral:rRNA from 1 species
CAGCCGCCACGGGAAUACAGAGGGUGCAAGCGUUAAUCGGAAUUACUGGGCGUAAAGCGCGCGUAGGUGGUUCGCCAAGUUGGAUGUGAAAUCCCCGGGCUCAACCUGGGAACUGCAUCCAAAACUGGCGAGCUAGAGUAUGGUAGAGGGUGGUGGAAUUUCCUGUGUAGCGGUGAAAUGCGUAGAUAUUCGGAAGAACACCAGUGGCGAAGGCGGCUUACUGGCUCAUACUGGACGCUGAGGUGCGAAAGCGUGGGGAGCAAACAGGAUUAGAUACCCCUGUAGUCCCUGUCUCUUAUAC